AUUGAACGCUGGCGGCAGGCCUAACACAUGCAAGUCGAACGAGUGGCGGACGGGUGAGUAAUGUCUGGGAACCUGCCUGAUGGAGGGGGAUAACUACUGGAAACGGUAGCUAAUACCGCAUACCAUCGGAUGUGCCCAGAUGGGAUUAGCUAGUAGGUGGGGUAAAGGCUCACCUAGGCGACGAUCCCUAGCUGGUCUGAGAGGAUGACAGGCAACCCUGGAACGGGGACACGGUCCAGACUCCUACGGGGGGCAGCAGUGGGGAAUAUUGCACAAUGGGCGAAAGCCUGAUGCAGCCAUGCGGGGGGUAUGAAGAAGGCCUUGGGGUUGUAAAGUCCUUUCAGCGGGGAGAGGUUACCGGCAGAAGAGGCACCGGCUAACUCCGUGCAAGCAGCGGGGGUAAAC
rnacentral:rRNA from 1 species